rnacentral:rRNA from 1 species
UACAGAGGGGGCAAGCGUUGUUCGGAAUUACUGGGCGUAAAGGGCGCGUAGGCGCCUUCUAAGUCAGACGUGAAAUCCCUCGGCUCAACCGGGGGAACUGCGUCUGAGACUGGAAGGCUUGAAUUCGGGAGAGGGAUGUGGAAUUCCAGGUGUAGCGGUGAAAUGCGUAGAUAUCUGGAGGAACACCGGUGGCGAAGGCGGCAUCCUGGACCGGUAUUGACGCUGAGGCGCGAAAGCCAGGGGAGCAAACGGG